GUCAGAGGCGAGGUCCACAUCCAAGACGAGCCAGAGGCGAGGUCCACGGCCAAGGACAGGAGCACAGAUGAUCCACCUGGAAUUUGAAAUCCCUUCUGUUCCCCUGGAGGGGAGUGGGAAGGAGGAACAACAUGUGAAUCACACUACACCAAACAGAAGCACAGAGAAUUAGAUAUAAUAAAUAAUAAAGAAUGGAGGAGAGUUGAAGUAAAUUAGAGUACAGAACAGAACCCCAGAGCUGAUGUGGAUAAUAACGGUGACAAAAAAAUCUAAAAUGCUUAGCAUAUCAAUAUUAAUCUAGACCCACAAGAGCUACAGCAGAGCGAGUCGACCACCAGGGCCCGGUUUAUCAAAGCAACUUCCCUCUGCUGAGUUCCAUGGAGAAAUCUGUGUAAUGGAUGUAAUGAAAGUUAUUAUUAUUCCCCAAAAUCAUUUCAGUAGGUAAGGGAGAAAUAAAAUUAACCAGGGUUAACAAACCAUGAGCUUGUAUCAUUUUUUAAUUGUUCCCACCUUUGGGAUUCGGUGAGAACCAAUAUCCAAAUCUUUUUGUGUUAGUAGAAUAUUAAUAUUAAUAUUACAGAUUACAUGCACACCUGUGCGUGCAGCAUUUGCAAGCAACCAGCAAAGGACCAAUACUAACAUUUUACUAAUAAUUACAGCAUAGUGUAAGGGUGUCGUACGAGAGAAUCGCCCUAUCGCCUUAAAUGCAUCCAUUUUGCAUUUUGAAUAUGUUACUAUGCAGUUACCACACACACAAUUGUGGCACAUUCUAUUUUAAUGAGUUCAUGAUAUUUGGCUGUACGAGCGUCAAAGGUACUGCAAGACACACCUGUGCUCCUCUGUACGAUCCUCCCUGGGCCGGACAACCCAAAAACCUCCAUACAGGUCAACCCCUGUGACUAAGGCUUACGCAGAAAAACGACUCAUCCAGGAGGCUGUGAAGAGGCAGAACACGCUGUGAAGGCCUACAGACUUCGCUUAACUGAGCUAAGGCCAGAAUUUAUGAUUCAACUGUGAGAAAAACCUGAAAUGAUGAGAAAGAAAAAAUAACAGAAGACCCAAAACCAAGCCCUGAGGUACGCCAUGCUGUGUAGACUUGAUUAAAAAAAAAAAAAAGUUCAGAAAGAAGUGAUUUGAAGAGUUUCCAAACAUAUAGAAGGAAGGGAUAAUUUGUCGGUUCCAAAGGGUCUAGAAAGUGUUUCUUACAGAAUAAAACAGUGGCUCUGAAAGGCGAAACUCCAACAGUAAUUGCUUUUUUUAAUGAAUAGCCAGUAAAACGCCAUCAGACUGUACAGAGAAGCAUCACUGAGGCUUAAAUCUUCUCAUUGGCUGCAGGAUUGUCCAACUGGAUCCUGAGAUAUUUUGGUCUGUGACUGUUAAUAAUGCCCCCGGAAGUGAACAGAAAAAAAAAAUAAGUGAGAGGUUUGAGACUAAUUUGAAUUUGCACCAUCGUCUGCCCAUUCCAGGGUUUGUGCCACUGCGUCGAUCAGGCAGCUCGUCAAAAUGACUGACAAGUGUAGCGGCGGUGAUUGAGGGGACAGAUUUGGAGCCAGGACAAGUUAUUAGCCGGCUGGGAGGAUAGAGCUGCGAUGGAGGUGUCGAAGUGAAGACUGAAGCACAAUAAUGGAGCGAGACACCAUCAGUGAUUCUCGCUCGGCGCCCUGGGCGGCGAGAUCCAUCAACGGCCUCACCUCACGUCAGAUCAGCGCAACACUCUUUGAAGGAUGUGGACGUUGCAGCUUUAUCAAACAGACAACGCCGUGAUCUUCCCUUCCGGCGUAAAAAGACUACAUCCACCUUACAGCAACAAAAGCCUGUGUGUGUGUUUGUGUGCAGAGCGGGUAGACGGAUGUAAUUUUCUAAGUGUGUGUGUGUGUGUAGGCGGACCUUGCCUCAAGCUAAAGUCAUUGAACAGUUAAGGAGUUCCUGCUACACUCCAGGCGAAAGCUGAAAUGCAACCAUCUGACCACGCGUGAAAUUACCACUCUUUCAUGAUUACACACACUCUCUCACACACACACAAACCUGGGCUUCUCCGCCUCCACAAACCGUACAUCUUAACAGACAAGCACACGUGUGAUGACAGCGCGCGGCGAGCCGUCACGGCUGAUAGCGGCAUCGCGGUGGAGUGACAUGCAACUUCCUCAGAAGUGCUAAUAGUGCUGCCACUGCCUCUCUGUGUGUUUGUGUGUGUCAAGGCUUUUUUGGACUGUGGAAUAUCUUUGUUGACAGCAAACCUUUUUUUACUGGUUUAUGUAGUAAAUAAAGACAGAACAGCAGAGGUUUGUAGUGUCCAUUUAAAAAAAAAAAA